rnacentral:rRNA from 1 species
CAGAGGGGGCAAGCGUUAUUCGGAAUUAUUGGGCGUAAAGGGCGCGUAGGCGGCCUAGCAAGUGACGGGUGAAAUCCCUCGGCUUAACCGAGGAACUGCCUGUCAGACUGCUGGGCUUGAGACCGGGAGAGGUGAGUGGAAUUCCCAGUGUAGCGGUGAAAUGCGUAGAUAUUGGGAGGAACACCAGUGGCGAAGGCGGCUCACUGGACCGGUACUGACGCUGAGGCGCGAAAGCGUGGGGAGCAAACAGGAUUAGAUACCCUGGUAGUCCACGCCGUAAACGAUGAGUGCUUGGUGUAGCGGGUAUCGACCCCUGCUGUGCCGAAGUCAACACAUUAAGCACUCCGCCUGGGGAUACGGUCGCAAGACUG